rnacentral:rRNA from 1 species
UGACCUCAAAUCAGGUAGGACUACCCGCUGAACUUAAGCAUAUCAAUAAGCGGAGGAAAAGAAACUAACAAGGAUUCCCCUAGUAACUGCGAGUGAAGCGGGAAAAGCUCAAAUUUAAAAUCUGGCGGUCUUCUGGCUGUCCGAGUUGUAAUCUAGAGAAGUGUUAUCCGCGCUGGACCAUGUACAAGUCUCCUGGAAUGGAGCAUCAUAGAGGGUGAGAAUCCCGUCUUUGACAUGGACUGCCAGGGCUUUGUGAUGCGCUCUCAAAGAGUCGAGUUGUUUGGGAAUGCAGCUCAAAAUGGGUGGUAAAUUCCAUCUAAAGCUAAAUAUUGGCGAGAGACCGAUAGCGAACAAGUACCGUGAGGGAAAGAUGAAAAGAACUUUGGAAAGAGAGUUAAACAGUACGUGAAAUUGCUGAAAGGGAAACGCUUGAAGUCAGUCGCGUCGUCCAGGGAUCAACCUUGCUUUUGCUUGGUGCACUUCCUGGUUUGACGGGUCAGCAUCAAUUUUGACCAUUGGAAAAAGAUCAAGGGAAUGUGGCAUCUUUGGAUGUGUUUAUAGCCCUUGGUCGCAUACAAUGGUUUGGGAUUGAGGAACUCAGCAUGCCGCAAGGCCGGGUGCAUAACCACGUACGUGCUUAGGAUGUGAC